rnacentral:rRNA from 1 species
GUCUACGGCCAUACCACCCUGAACGUGCCCGAUCUCAUCUGAUCCCGGAAGCUAAGCAGGGUCGGGCCUGGUUAGUACUUGGAUGGGAGAAAUAAUCAGCAGAGUAAACA